ACACUGACGUCGCGACGCAUAUCAAUAAGCGGAGGAAAAGAAACUAACAAGGAUUCCCCUAGUAACGGCGAGUGAAGCGGGAAGAGCUCAAAUUUGAAAUCUUAAAGGGUUUCCCUUUACGAAUUGUAGUUUAAAGAAGUGUUUUCUGUUGGAGUUUCGGUAAAAGUUCUUUGGAAUAGGACAUCAUAGAGGGUGAGAAUCCCGUAUUUGACCGUUACUUUCCAGCUGUGUGAUACGCUUUCAAAGAGUCGGAUUGUUUGGGAAUGCAGUCCAAGAUGGGUGGUAAAUUUCAUCUAAAGCUAAAUAUUGGCGAGAGACCGAUAGCGAACAAGUACCGUGAGGGAAAGAUGAAAAGAACUUUGAAAAGAGAGUUAAACAGUACGUGAAAUUGUCAAAAGGGAAGCGUUUGACACCAGUGUUGUUUAGUUGAAAAUCAAUUCAAUAGUUUUUGAUUCUAAGUAGUAUUGACUUCAUCAGCUUGCUGCUUUCUUCUCAGAAAUUAUUGAAUGCACUUUUCAGUUAACAAGUCAACAUCAAUUUCUUUUGUUGUAAAAGGGUAAGAGGAAGGUGGCUUGCGCUUCGGCUCAAGUGUUUAUAGCCUUUUAUCUCUGCAAUCGGAGAGAUUGAGGUCUGCAGCGUAGAUCCUUCGGGGUUAGAUACAUUGGUGCUAAGCUAUAGCCUUGUAUAGACAACUUGUUGACUAUGCUCAGUCAUGUAGCUUACUCGCUGAUGCUAUUUUACCUACGCUUAGGAUGUUGACGCGCGUGUGUGCGUG
rnacentral:rRNA from 1 species